GACGAACGCUGGCGGCGUGCUUAACACAUGCAAGUCGAACGAUGAAGCCUAGCUUGCUAGGUGGAUUAGUGGCGAACGGGUGAGUAAUACGUGAGUGACCUACCUUUGACUCUGGGAUAAGCCUGGGAAACUGGGUCUAAUACCGGAUACGACCAAUCUCCGCAUGGGGUGUUGGUGGAAAGCGUUAUGGAGUGGUUUUAGAUGGGCUCACGGCCUAUCAGCUUGUUGGUGAGGUAAUGGCUUACCAAGGCGACGACGGGUAGCCGGCCUGAGAGGGUGACCGGCCACACUGGGACUGAGACACGGCCCAGACUCCUACGGGGGGCAGCAGUGGGGAAUAUUGCACAAUGGGCGCAAGCCUGAUGCAGCGACGCCGCGUGAGGGAUGACGGCCUUCGGGUUGUAAACCUCUGUUAGCAUCGAAGAAGCGAAAGUGACGGUAGGUGCAGAGAAAGCGCCGGCUAACUACGUG
rnacentral:rRNA from 1 species